CAGGCCCAGGCUUGGGGGUAUAGUGGACAGAAUGUGCCCAAACGGAUAGGCCAAGGGUUCCUGACCCAAUCCAUGGCCUGAGAGGAGUUAGGCGGGUGUAGCAUAAGAUUAGGGGUGGGAAUCCCAAUCCAUUCGUUCAGCAUAGUGGACCUUAAAGCGUAAUAUGAAAUGGAUUUAAAAAACCAUAGGAACUCUCUAAUCAGAUGCGACCGAAUCAAUCGUUUUGAUUAACUCUCCGCCUCGGCAUCACGGCUGCAGAUUUGGAAUGUCAGAGUUGCAUCGUGAUUCGGCCUCAAUCAUCAUCGUGUUCAAGCUUCAACAUCAUCUCGCAGUCUCAAAUCCGCAUCAAUAACUCAGCUCGAGAUUCAUCAUUUCCGCGCGUACAAACGGAGAGAACGGAAUUGAAAUUAAAGCGAGGAACUCACCGGUUCGACGUGGCGUUAGUUGGUUUUGCUUUCUGUUUGUGUUAGUUUGCAGUGCAUAGGUGAGGUUUUGAUCAUGUGUUUGUGUUAUUGUGGCUUAUGGUGGAAUUCAUAUUGAUGUUUUGUUAAUGAAAAUUAUGCAUUGUGGCUUAUCUGUGUUGAUUUUCUGCUACAUGUUUUCAUGUCCUGCAUUUGGAUUAUUUUGAAAUUCCCUUGUUGUGUGAUUGUGUUAUGAGUUUAGUUGGUGUUUCUGUUAAGACAAUUGGAGUUUAAUUAGUUAAGACAAAAUGAGAUGCUGUAAUAACCGCUAUUAUGAUGAAAUCCAUAUUAUGUUUUGACUGUAAUUGUUGUGAAGUGGAUUUUAUGGGAUUGAAUAUUAAUGUCAAAAGGUUGUUUUAAAACAAAUCUCAUUCUUUCCAUGAUUUGCAGCAUGUUUGUGGGACUAUUAAUGAUUGGUGAUGAAGUGAAAGCUUUCAAGAUUUGUGAAGGAUAGAUUGGAUUGCUAUGGACUUUGGUCAUGUUGUAACUUUUGUCGAUUGAAUGUAUUAGAAAUUUACUUUGUAUGUAUAUGGUUGAAAUAGUUUAAUAUAUAUUUGGAAUUGAAUGAUGGGGUUUAUGUAAAUGUCUGGAAGGGAUUUGAAGAUCAACUUGAAAUGGUUUUAUGGAAUUUCAAAUUGAAAUGCUUGAAUGUAAAUUUGUAAAUACUAUGAAUGUACAUUUGUAAUUUUGGCAAUGAAUUUAAAUGUUAAAUUUGGAUAUUCUAUAAUAUUUGAUGGUAUUUAGAUUUGGUUUAA
rnacentral:lncRNA from 1 species